ACAUACUUUGUUAAACUGCUUUCAGCACAUUCAGACUAUUAAAUCGCGACAGACAAUACGUUUUACACCUGCCGCGCCGCUGCCGUGAGACACUGAAAGCCGGCGCGCUUAUUAAAGAGACGUCCAGACAAGGAGGUGUAAGUACGACAACACUUAGAGGUGCAGUCUGGGGAGGGGCCAGGUGACAUUUACAUAGUUAAAUCACAGGAAUGAUUCGAAUAUACGAGCAGGCAGGAGGUGAGGGAAUAGAGAGAGCAGUUGUCGAGAGGAAAAGGAAAGAUGACCUUUGAACGGGAGAUGCAACCAAACCAGUAUUACUGUCAGUCUUUUUCUUUCAGAGUAUCCUGAGAUACGGUUGCAGGCUCUUGGCCCCGAGCUGUGUCCAUUAACAGAUCACGAGGCAGGCAGGGGUAGCAGAGGUGAUCUGAACGGGCUGGGUGUUUCGCUCGCUCUCACAACCUCUGAAAGACGGCUCUGGCGAUCUGCAUUCCUUCAUCCCGUGAGGAGUCUGGCUGUGGAACGGAAGUGGCAUUCUUAAGCGCUGAAAAUAUUGGUGUUUUUGGAAAAUGCCGAAGAGGACCUGGUUUUUUCUAGCUGUGAUCUGAACCACGGAGAAAUGAAAGGGGACCCCCCCCGUGUGUUUCACAGUGGCGCCCCAGUACAGCGCGGGCCUGCACCCUGCACCGUCUCCUCGGGCCUCCCUCCGGGAACGCCCUGUCUCAGGCUGGCCGGGGGAGCCCUGUUCUCCGGCUGGAGGACGGACUGAGUUCAGAAGCAGGAAAUACAAGUGACCUUUGGGGCGGAAUCAUAUUUGUCACCCUGAGUUCUCACCCCGUUCGAAAGGAUAAAUAAAAGCCUGUCUCUUAUUCUUCCCCCGGUUUUAUUUGGGCGUGGGGCUGGCCAGCACUCAGGUUGUCCGCGUAUGGCGUGAAUUUCAGUGUGAAACCCCCAGAGGAACAGAAGGUACCCCAGCAUCUCUCCCGCUGCCUCCUGCGAGGACACCAUCUGCACAGGGCUGCCUGGCCCGUACUGUGCUGGGCCGUUUGUCAAUAGGAGAGUGCUGGAGAGUCAUCACCUUAGGCACUGCCUUAAAUUAAUAACAUUACCCUGCGCCAUCAUGCGUAUGUCAAUUCAGAGAGGAUGGAGGCAUUUAAUUAUUAUUUGUAAACUGUUCCGAGAUGAAUAAGAUUACUAUGCUAUGAAUGGCAGGGGAAUUAAACUGUCUCCUCUGCAGGCUCUAAGCGCCCCCUCCAACAGUGCAGAGAAUAAAUAAGUAAACAUAUGAAGUGUCUGGUUUAUUUGUGUCUGCAGUACACUUCUGCACCAUAUUCAAUAAUGAUAGA